UCUGUUGGAGUGAAACGAAUUCAACCCUUUCUUUACUCUUUCAGGUGUCUCACUGAAGAAAGAAGUAAUCGUAAAAAGGUUCACUGGUUCAGCCAUCGUUGUUUGUUGUGAUGUUCGACGGAGCGGUGGGACCCGGAAGUUUUAUUUUAGUGCCCCACUCCGCACUCCGCAACAAGGUGUGUGCGGAGUGGAUCCGAAUCGCACACAUACCUCCGCUGCCUGCCCUGUAUUGGCCGGCCCACAAUGCUUGUGUAGCCUAUAUAUACGAGCGCUCAAUAUUAUCCUCACCACCAAAACGUCCUGCCUCUCUCCUUGUGUGCGCUUCUGAUCAAAUGUUCUGAGUCCAACGUCCCGGAGCGACCGGACCCGGAGGAUGACCUGCUGGCCCCGGAGGAGUAGCCUACCUGCUGGCCCGGGAGGAGGACCUGCUGGACCCGGAGGAGGACUGGCCGCUAGACCGCGCCGACGACGCCGGUUAAGCAUGGACCAGCUGCCUUCAUGUACGAAUCUGCAUCGCCUCAAUGAAUAAGGAUUUAAACCUUUCCGACAAACGUGACAGUGAUUCAUUCCAGUCUUCCCUCCACAGUGGAAGCGGAUUCGACGGGAGCGGAUAAACGCUUGGACGUCUGCGCACACACACACUUCUUCGGUGGCUUAGCAAGACAAAUAAUUGCGUUCUUGUGUAAACUCACCUCCAUGCAAUGAUGAACAAAGACAAUAAAACUUUCCAUUUAGCCUCUAGCGAUAUAAACCGGAGUCCCCACACAGAAAACGUCCUAUGCUUAAUAAUCUUUUCCAAUCGAUUAAUCAUUUAGUGCCACUGCCAGUGAAAUAAGAAAUAGCGCCAGCGUUACAUUUUAGGUUAAAUGUUGACAUUGUUAAGAUCCUCGAAGUCCGUUCUUGUGUAAACUCACCUCCAUGUAAUGAUGAACACUGACAAUAAAAGACCCGUUGCUUA